rnacentral:rRNA from 1 species
UGAGUGGGGGCGGGGCUUACACAUUGCAAGGUCGAACGAUGAUUAUCUAGCUUGCUAGAGAUGAUUAGUGGCGGACGGGUGAGUAACAUUUAGGAAUCUGCCUAGUAGUGGGGGAUAGCUCGGGGAAACUCGAAUUAAUACCGCAUACGACCUACGGGUGAAAGGGGGCGCAAGCUCUUGCUAUUAGAUGAGCCUAAAUCAGAUUAGCUAGUUGGUGGGGUAAAGGCCCACCAAGGCGACGAUCUGUAACUGGUCUGAGAGGAUGAUCAGUCACACCGGAACUGAGACACGGUCCGGACUCCUACGGGAGGCAGCAGUGGGGAAUAUUGGACAAUGGGGGCAACCCUGAUCCAGCCAUGCCGCGUGUGUGAAGAAGGCCUUUUGGUUGUAAAGCACUUUAAGCAGGGAGGAGAGGCUAAUGGUUAAUACCCAUUAGAUUAGACGUUACCUGCAGAAUAAGCACCGGCUAACUCUGUGCCAGCAGCCGCGGUAAUACAGAGGGUGCGAGCGUUAAUCGGAAUUACUGGGCGUAAAGCGAGUGUAGGUGGCUCAUUAAGUCACAUGUGAAAUCCCCGGGCUUAACCUGGGAACUGCAUGUGAUACUGGUGGUGCUAGAAUAUGUGAGAGGGAAGUAGAAUUCCAGGUGUAGCGGUGAAAUGCGUAGAGAUCUGGAGGAAUACCGAUGGCGAAGGCAGCUUCCUGGCAUAAUAUUGACACUGAGAUUCGAAAGCGUGGGUAGCAAACAGGAUUAGAUACCCUGGUAGUCCACGCCGUAAACGAUGUCUACUAGCCGUUGGGGUCCUUGAGACUUUAGUGGCGCAGUUAACGCGAUAAGUAGACCGCCUGGGGAGUACGGCCGCAAGGUUAAAACUCAAAUGAAUUGACGGGGGCCCGCACAAGCGGUGGAGCAUGUGGUUUAAUUCGAUGCAACGCGAAGAACCUUACCUGGUCUUGACAUAGUGAGAAUCCUGCAGAGAUGCGGGAGUGCCUUCGGGAAUU